UUAAAGUUAAAAAAAUGUUUAAGGGGUGUAUGUUAGUAGAAUCACAGCAGGGAAAAAAUUACAUGCUCAAAUUAGUUACUUCAAAGAUAGUUUAAUAAAAUAAAAGGAUUGUUUAUAAAACUGUGGGUAGAAAUAGGAAAACCGCAGGAUAGGACCUCAAGUUGGGGGAACGCAGAGGGCUCCUGAUAGCAGCUAAGCCUCGGGUUGAGGGAGGCAGCCAGUGUGCCAAGGUGCUGCAGGGGGAAACAGGAAAUUAGAUGCCCUGGCCUCUCCCUUCUUUCUUCCUGCAAGGUUAUACCAGUGUCUCCUAUUGGACAAGCCAAAUGGGAAGACAGAAGGCACAGGUGUCCAUUGAUACCGUCCACAGAGGUGAAAUCCCCAGAGUGGAGGUGAGUGGAUCAGAGGAAAGUGGAAGUUGCCCAGCAUGGGCACGAAUACCCUUCCUAGAAGCGCCCAGCUGCCUUCUUAUUGUAACCCAGUGACCAUAUCUGGGUUUACAUGCCCGUUUCUAGACCCGUCACAGGCAAACCAGAAUUGAAUGCCAUACUGGCUGCCUUGGGAAAAUUGUGAUGUGCUGUUCACGGGAACAGCAGUGAGUCUAUCGUGUCCAUUAAGAGCAGGGGCUCUGAAGCCUGAUGGCCACAGUUCAAAUCCUGGCUCCAUCACUCCUCAGUUAUAUAACCCGUGCCAAGGAGCUUAACUUUUUGUUCCUCAGUUUCCCAUCUGUAAAAUGGUGAUAAUGACACUUCACAGGUUGAUGUAAUGAUUAAAUGUUUAAUGUACAAAAGGUGCUUAACACAGUACUUGGCUCACAGCAAAGGUUAACUACUGAUCACCUAUUGUAUAUUUCAAAGUAGCUAGAAGAUAGCAAUUCAAAUGUUCCUAGCAUGAAGAAAAGACAACAAUUUAAGGCAAUGUAAAUCCUGAUGAUAAUGAUUUGAUCUUUACAAGUUAUUCAAAUGUGUUAAAUGAUCACAUGUAUCCCCAAUGUAUGCACAACUAUUAUGUAUUAAUAAAAAAUAAAAUUUUAAAAAAUUAAA